AUUGAACGCUGGCGGCAGGCUUAACACAUGCAAGUCGAGCGGAGAGAGGUAGCUUGCUACCGAUCUUAGCGGCGGACGGGUGAGUAAUGCUUAGGAAUCUGCCUAUUAGUGGGGGACAACAUUUCGAAAGGAAUGCUAAUACCGCAUACGUCCUACGGGAGAAAGCAGGGGAUCUUCGGACCUUGCGCUAAUAGAUGAGCCUAAGUCGGAUUAGCUAGUUGGUGGGGUAAAGGCCUACCAAGGCGACGAUCUGUAGCGGGUCUGAGAGGAUGAUCCGCCACACUGGGACUGAGACACGGCCCAGACUCCUACGGGAGGCAGCAGUGGGGAAUAUUGGACAAUGGGCGCAAGCCUGAUCCAGCCAUGCCGCGUGUGUGAAGAAGGCCUUAUGGUUGUAAAGCACUUUAAGCGAGGAGGAGGCUACUUUAGUUAAUACCUAGAGAUAGUGGACGUUACUCGCAGAAUAAGCACCGGCUAACUCUGUGCCAGCAGCCGCCGCGGUAA
rnacentral:rRNA from 1 species